UUGAGGUGUAGAGCAGAACUCCCUAGUGAAUACUCAGCACAGUUCUGAAGGUGAUUUCUGAAAAGCUCCAUCUGAGGUACAAACUAAACAGGAAAAAUUAUUUCCAACUCUAUUACUCAUUAUGACACAACUCUACACAGCCACUCUGGAGUGAACUGAAACUAAAGGAGUCAGCCAUGCUUAAUUAACUCUUAGAAAUGCUUCAAGGAGUUCUUCUGAAGUCACGCUGGGGCUCAGAGCCGGGGUUUGUUGUCACCUGUGACCUGUGCAAUUGCGGAAGGCCACCAAAAGGGUGUAUCCUGCCCUCUCCCUUCAUCUCAGCCCUCUCCAGCCUGUGGAUCGCACCGAUCUAAUGGUUACAGAGCUUCAGUGGAUUGACUUAAUGAAAUAAAUAUAUAUUAUUUUUCGUAA